rnacentral:lncRNA from 1 species
GAGUGAUCACAGUUUUUGAGAAUCAUGAUGAGGCAUUAAAGAAGAGGAGGAGUGUCUCAAGGGAGGUGAGCUGGAGGUGAUGCAAGGAUGUCUGAUCUGAAAGCAUGUUGUGGUCCGCUACACACAAGAGCAAAAGAAGAGCAGGAAGGAGCUCAGUGCCAAGACCAUAGCCACAGGAAGAAAACCAGCUCUUAGGGCUGCAGCUCUAAAGACAGGCCAGGUCAUUACAGGAACGUCUGCUCCCUUAGCCUUGCCAGACAGAGGAGGGUUAAGAAAGGAACUGCUGACCCUGAUAUGCAAACUGCCACGAGUGCUUCCUGCCUUUCUAUCAGCAUCAGAUGGCUAGCGAUGGAUGGCUGUGGAGAGAGGAUGCCAGACAGAUAUUUGAGCAGAACAAAGAGAGCCAACAGGAUGAAGGCAUUCCCUGGCUGGUUGGACAAGCAACUGAAGAACAGGAACAGAAGUGAAUGAAAAGAGAAGAUGCUGUGUUUGUGUUUUCUCUUGGUUAGAAUGCUGUGAGUCAGGACCUUAGCUGCUGGGUGUCCUGGGACUGCCUUCGAUGAAGAACCUGAGGCUCACCUUGCUUAAGUGACUU